rnacentral:rRNA from 1 species
CCUACGGGAGGCAGCAGUGAGGAAUAUUGGUCAAUGGACGAGAGUCUGAACCAGCCAAGUAGCGUGAAGGAUGACUGCCCUAUGGGUUGUAAACUUCUUUUAUAUGGGAAUAAAAUGUUCCACGUGUGGGCUUUUGUAUGUACCAUAUGAAUAAGGAUCGGCUAACUCCGUGCCAGCAGCCGCGGUAAUACGGAGGAUCCGAGCGUUAUCCGGAUUUAUUGGGUUUAAAGGGAGCGUAGGUGGAUUGUUAAGUCAGUUGUGAAAGUUUGCGGCUCAACCGUAAAAUUGCAGUUGAAACUGGCAGUCUUGAGUACAGUAGAGGUGUGCGGAAUGCGUGGUGUAGCGGUGAAAUGCUUAGAUAUCACGAAGAACUCCGAUUGCGAAGGCAGCUCACUGGACUGCAACUGACACUGAGGCUCGAAAGUGUGGGUAUCAAACAGGAUUAGAUACCCUUGUAGUC